rnacentral:rRNA from 2 species
CCCGGGCCUUGUACACACCGCCCGUCACACCAUGGGAGUGGGUUGCAAAAGAAGUAGGUAGCUUAACCUUCGGGAGGGCGCUUACCACUUUGUGAUUCAUGACUGGGGUGAAGUCGUAACAAGGUAACCGUAGGGGAACCUGCGGUUGGAUCACCUCCUUACCUUAAAGAAGC